AACCUCGUAGUAUAGUAUAUAGUACGCCGAUUACUUUACCGGAGGCGCAGGUUCGAAUCCUACCGAGGUUU